rnacentral:lncRNA from 1 species
UUUUGGUGUCCUCUGGGCAGCCACUCCGGGUGUCCAUGAGUCACAGAGCCACUCCUUAACCCCUGGUCCUGCUCGCGGUGGAGAAGAGAAUUCCAUUUACAACAACCAAGUUUCUAAGAACUGAGGUGCCUCGGUUGUUAAUGCUAUCUUCACACAAUGAUUGCAGUCUUGUUUACAGAUGAGAAAACAGAAACUCAAGAGGCAAAGCCAGGUGCCCAAGGACAGAACCAGGAGGCCAGGCUGAACUGGACCUGGAGACCCUGAGGCCCAUCCUGUCUUCACCGUGUCCCGCUGCAGCCACGGCCACCCUAGCUGGAGACCAGGUUGUGCUUUAAAAGCAAGCUGGAAAGCAGACAGCACACCACCCCUCUCCUGGCGCCGGUUCUACUCCAGACUGUGGGCCGGAAGCUCGAGAGCUCGCCCUCGGGCUGUCUUCUGUGUUUUUCUUUCCCUAAAAAAUUCAAAGCACCUUAAUCUCAGACCCAGAGUGGGUCCUCGCCCUGAGCCCCCAGGGCAGCUGCACUCGUCCCACGUCCGUGACAUCUUUCUACACAUCUGGGACGAACGGCCCUGUCGUGUGCGAAGUCUCCCACCCACUGGGAGCCGGAUGAGUCACAGCUGAACAGAGCCAGGGGGCGGAGGAGUGCGGCCGCGCGGAGGGACGCAGAGGACCGUGCCCACGGUGGGACUGGCGCCAGGACGUCGGUCCCUUCCCCUCCUCCCCCCUCCCUUCCUCCUUCCUCCCGCCUCCCUCCUCCUUGCUCCUUUUCUGCUUCUUUUCUCCUUCUUCCUUCCUUACUCUUUCCUCCCUGUUCCUCCCUCCUUCCUCCUCCUUUCCUCUUUUCUCCCUUCCCUCCUCCUCCCUUCCUUCUUUGCCUUGACAUUUUCGGCGUUUUAUAAAAUAAGUUCAUAAAGCCUGUUCACA